UGUUAUUGGACUUCUGUGCUCGUUACGGAUUGUCCAUAACGAACACCAUGCUCAAGCAUAAGGGUGUCCACACGUGCACUUGGCACCAGGACACCCUAGGUCGCAGUUCGAUGAUCGACUUUGUGGUCGUGUCAUCGGACUUGCGGCCGCAUGUCUUGGACACUCGGGUAAAGAGAGGGGCGGAGCUGUCAACUGAUCACCACCUGGUGGUGAGUUGGCUCCGAUGGUUUACUGGUCUCGAUUUACCGGUCGAUCUACGUUCCUACCCUCACCUAUGGUCCCGAGCUGUGGGCCGUGACCGAAAGAACGAGAUCCCGGAUACAAGCCACCGAAAUGAGUUUCGGCUCUCCCUGAUAGAUAGGGUGAGAAGCUCGGUCAUCAGAGUAGAGCCGUUGCUCUUUCACAUCGAGAGAAGCCAGAUGAGGUGGCUGGGGCAUCUGAUUUGGAUGCCUCCCGGACGCCUCCCUGGUGAGGUGUUCCGGGCACGUCCCACCGGGAGGAGACCCCGGGGACGAGCCAGGUCACGCUGGAGAGACUACAUCCUUCGGCUGGCCUGGGAACGCCUCGGGAUCCCCCCGGAAGAGAUGGAUGAAGUGGCUGGGGAAAGGGAAGUCUGAGCGUCCCUGCUAAAGCUACUGCCCCCGCGACCCGACCUCGGAUAAGCAGUAGAAGAUGGAUGGAUGGAUGGAUGGAUGUAGUAACUACAAAGUAACACAGAAGUAGUUACAAUUGAAAGCACAUAAUUAAAUAAUACAGUAUAACAAAUUAAUCUGAACAACUCAUAAAUUGCAUAAUAUAUUACAUUUUGACAUUUGCUCAAUGUACCUGGUGCCUAAAGGUCACACGCAUUAUCAAUUGUCUGGGUAAGCAAUCAAUUCUCUUAUGCACCUCACACCUUAACAUGUGAUUCAUUGUAAAGGAGUUGGACUUUAAGAUGACACCAGAAUCCUAUUAUAAAAGGUCCUUCUCUGCUUUCCCAGGGUCCACGGGUGCCAAUUUUCAAUAGCCUACAGAAGCUUGUCAGUCUGAUGACAGCUGUUUUUCAGCAUCGGGCCAAGAAUGUUGGUGGCAAUGAUUUCUUAAUAAUUCCGAUGAGGAAACAAGGUUAUAAAGAUGACCCUCGCCGCUGUUAAGUACAGCUGCUCGACCCACUUCUCUGUCAGUCACCCUGACAACAAUACAACCUGUCUUCCUGGGAAUUGAUGUCUAUCUUCAGACCAAGCGAGUCAUCAAAGGGACCUGUUUUGAAGACGGGAUGACAUCAAGAUGGCCGUGACAAUGGAGCUGCGGCGGAUCUCAGAAGAAUUCUUCCAGGAGUUCAUGAAGACGUGGAUGGAAGCUGGAAGACAGCUGCCCGUUUGAACAGGUGCACAUGUUGGGUCUGGAACAGAAGCCAUCACCACAGGAGUUCCUGCAUAUUGCUGUUAGGUCAAAGGAGAAAGGGGAGAGGCCAUCAUUUUAAACCAGGCAAUGCAGC